AGUGAACGCUGGCGGUAGGCCUAACACAUGCAAGUCGAACGGCAGCACAGUAAGAGCUUGCUCUUACGGGUGGCGAGUGGCGGACGGGUGAGGAAUACAUCGGAAUCUACUUUUUCGUGGGGGAUAACGUAGGGAAACUUACGCUAAUACCGCAUACGACCUACGGGUGAAAGCAGGGGAUCUUCGGACCUUGCGCGAUUGAAUGAGCCGAUGUCGGAUUAGCUAGUUGGCGGGGUAAAGGCCCACCAAGGCGACGAUCCGUCGCUGGUCUGAGGGGAUGAUCGGCCACACUGGAACUGAGACACGGUCCAGACUCCUACGGGAGGCAGCAGUGGGGAAUAUUGGACAAUGGGCGCAAGCCUGAUCCAGCCAUACCGCGUGGGUGAAGAAGGCCUUCUGGUUGUAAAGCCCUUUUGUUGGGAAAGAAAAGCAGCAGGUUAAUACCCCGCUGUUCUGACGGUACCCAAAGAAUAAGCACCGGCUAACUUCGUG
rnacentral:rRNA from 1 species